rnacentral:rRNA from 1 species
AUUGAGCGCUGGCGGCAGGCUUAACACAUGCAAGUCGAGCGGAGAUGAGGUGCUUGCACCUUAUCUUAGCGGCGGACGGGUGAGUAAUGCUUAGGAAUCUGCCAUUUAGUGGGGGACAACAUUCCGAAAGGAAUGCUAAUACCGCAUACGUCCUACGGGAGAAAGCAGGGGAUCUUCGGACCUUGCGCUAAAUGAUGAGCCUAAGUCGGAUUAGCUAGUUGGUGGGGUAAAGGCCUACCAAGGCGACGAUCUGUAGCGGGUCUGAGAGGAUGAUCCGCCACACUGGGACUGAGACACGGCCCAGACUCCUACGGGAGGCAGCAGUGGGGAAUAUUGGACAAUGGGCGGAAGCCUGAUCCAGCCAUGCCGCGUGUGUGAAGAAGGCCUUUUGGCUGUAAAGCACUUUAAGCGAGGAGGAGGCUACUAGUACUAAUACUACUGGAUAGUGGACGUUACUCGCAGAAUAAGCACCGGCUAACUCUGUGCCAGCCGCCGCGGUAA